rnacentral:rRNA from 1 species
UUUCCCUCAGGAUAGCUGGCACUCGCUUGAGCGAGUCUCAUCUGGUAAAGCGAAUGAUUAGAGGCCUUGGGGCCGAAACGACCUCAACCUAUUCUCAAACUUUAAAUGGGUGAGAUCUCUGGCUUGCUUGAACGUUGAAGCCACGAGAUUAUUUUGAUAUAAUGGAUCAGAGUGCCAAGUGGGCCAAUUUUGGUAAGCAGAACUGGCGCUGUGGGA